rnacentral:rRNA from 1 species
UACGGGGGGGGCAAGCGUUGUUCGGAAUUACUGGGCGUAAAGGGCUCGUAGGUUGCCAACUAAGUCAGACGUGAAAUCCCUCGGCUUAACCGGGGAACUGCGUCUGAUACUGGAUGGCUUGAGAUUGGGAGAGGGAUGCGGAAUUCCAGGUGUAGCGGUGAAAUGCGUAGAUAUCUGGAGGAACACCGGUGGCGAAGGCGGCAUCCUGGACCGGCAUUGACGCUGAGGUGCGAAAGCUAGGGGAGCAAACGGG